CUCCUCGUAACCCGUCUCCCAACUUCCCAAGUCAUCUCUCUCUCUCUCUAAAACGCACGAAACCCUAGCCGCCCCCCUUAAUCUCCUUCGUUCUUCACUCCCUACCAGUGACCACGAUCUCCUGCAGAAAAACCUUCUCUCUCUCUCUCUCUCUCUCUCUCUCUCUCUCUCUCUCUCUCUGUGAACCCUAGUUUUGUUAUGUGCAUAUUUUCAACCCUAACAAGCUUGCUCUACCCGAGUGCCGAAAAACUAGGAUUUUGGCCGUCGUCUCUUUUUCACUGCCGUGUCUGUCUCGAUCGCCGGUGACCUUUCGUGAAUGUACGCCAUGCCCACUUUCCUUGUCGAUUGAGUUGGAUGAGAACAACCAAGUGUGGAUCUCUUUCGGUCCAAUCACUUGAAGUUGCUAUUUGGUGUGGAGAUUAAAUAAUUGAUGGAAAUGCAUCUGAUUUUGUAAUUUAUAUAUUGUAAUUUUGUAAUUUAUAUAUUGUAAUUUUGUAUUUUGUAAUGUAUAUAUAGCAAAUAAUGGAAUAUGUAGUGGAUUGCAUUA